GACGAACGCUGGCGGCGUGCUUAACACAUGCAAGUCGAACGCUGAAGCUCAGCUUUUGUUGGGUGGAUGAGUGGCGAACGGGUGAGUAACACGUGAGUAACCUGCCCCCUUCUUUGGGGUAACGCCCGGAAACGGGUGCUAAUACUGGAUAUUCACUGGUCUUCGCAUGGGGGUUGGUGGAAAGGGUUUUUCUGGUGGGGGAUGGGCUCGCGGCCUAUCAGCUUGUUGGUGGGGUGAUGGCCUACCAAGGCUUUGACGGGUAGCCGGCCUGAGAGGGUGACCGGUCACAUUGGGACUGAGAUACGGCCCAGACUCCUACGGGAGGCAGCAGUGGGGAAUAUUGCACAAUGGGCGCAAGCCUGAUGCAGCGACGCCGCGUGAGGGAUGGAGGCCUUCGGGUUGUGAACCUCUUUCGCUCAUGGUCAGGCCGCAACAAUGGUUGUGGUGAGGGUAGUGGGUAAAGAAGCGCCGGCUAACUACGUG
rnacentral:rRNA from 1 species